AAGGCCCUCAAACGGCCCCAGCACAGGAGACUGAAGAGGUGCAGCCGUUCCAGCCACUGCAGGAGGAUGCAGCCAUGGACGGCACACAAGAGCAGGACACCGCCCGUGGCCGCUUCCACAGAGCAGCGCAGUUUCUUUACCAAUUCAUCACGAGAACUGGCAAGGAAGACACCAGACCCAUGGACACUGAGGUCAAGGCAUCCUCAGAGGUCUUGGCAGAACAGAGCAGCGCUGCCCAGCUGGAUAUGCUUGUAGAGACAGCUCUUUUCAGUCCAGAGCAAGUAAGCAGCCUGUGGCCAGCCUUUGAUCCUCCAGCAAUUGCUUGGCUUUCCCAAGCCACGNNNNNNNNNNNNNNNNNNNNGUUUUUAUCACUUUGGUGUUCUUUCAAACUACUCUAUUGACAUGUUAGACUGUCAAUUCGAACAGACUAACAAUGUUGUAUAUAGUUUUGUAUAGUGUGCGUAUUAACUCACUGAAUUAGAAAUAUUAGACUCAGCCAUCAAAUCCUUGCAAGGAGAACAAAUCCUAAAUACCAAAACAUAAACCAAAAUUCUAAAUUAAUUCUAAAUCAGCAUCCAUUCCAAUUUCUAGUAAAAGAAACCUCUUGUGCCGUGUUUGUUCCUUUUCUGAAGGGCCCAACAGAAAAUUACAAACACAGUACAUUUUUAUUUUUUUUUCCUAAGCGAAAAAGGUGAAUUGUGGAUGCUAAAUCUGAACCAGAGUGCCUGUAGUUAUUACAGGCCACAUAGCUCUCAGGCCUGACUGAGAACUAGCCUGAGAAAUUCAUGAGAAGGAAUUAAAACAAUUCUCAGAGAUACUAAACAGCCUUGCAGGUGUUGUUUUGCAGCCUGUUGUUUCUCCUUGCAGGAGAGAGUCAGGGGGGCAAAGUGCCCCUGACCAAUGAUGGUGGUGUAGUACUUUGUUAACCAAUAAGAGUUUCCUUUCUGUACUUUUCCACGUAUCUGUCUAUAAGACAGAGCUGAAGCAAUAAACUAGGGAAUUCUCGUGUUGUGACUCCCUUG
rnacentral:lncRNA from 1 species